GAUGAACGCUGGCGGCGUGCCUAAUACAUGCAAGUCGAGCGAACGGACGAGAAGCUUGCUUCUCUGAUGUUAGCGGCGGACGGGUGAGUAACACGUGGAUAACCUACCUAUAAGACUGGGAUAACUUCGGGAAACCGUAGCUAAUACCGGAUAAUAUUUUGAACCGCAUGGUUCAAAAGUGAAAGACGGUCUUGCUGUCACUUAUAGAUGGAUCCGCGCGGCAUUAGCUAGUUGGUAAGGUAACGGCUUACCAAGGCAACGAUGCAUAGCCGACCUGAGAGGGUGAUCGGCCGCACUGGAGCUGAGACGCGGUCCAGACUCCUACGGGAGGCAGCAGUAGGGAAUCUUCCGCAAUGGGCGAAAGCCUGACGGAGCAACGCCGCGUGAGUGAUGAAGGUCUUCGGAUCGUAAAACUCUGUUAUUAGGGAAGAACAGAUGUGUAAGUAACGGUGCACGUCUUGACGGUACCUAAUCAGAAAGCCACGGCUAACUACGUG
rnacentral:rRNA from 1 species